GCAGUGGUGGCUCAGUGGUAGGGUUCUCACCUUCCAGGCUGGAGACCCGGGUUUGAUUCCCGGCCAAUGCA
rnacentral:tRNA from 1 species